AGCAGUAGUUAACGGAAACAUCUUCCCAGCAAUCUCCUUGCUAAGCAAAAGUUUUUGGCAAAUUGCCGCUGCAGCUACUUCCUCUGUUUACUGUUAACUGCAACAGUGAGAGCUCAGAAAUUCCCAGACUGUUUUGAUGAUAAGGUCCAAGAACUUGCCAUGUGAUCCAUCACUACUAGACUCCCACAACUGCAUUAGAUUUGUUCAGGAUUUUCAUAUAAUUUUCAUAACUGGCUAAGUUCUGAAAUAACCCAUCUUGAAGACAUAAACAAUGUGCAUUGAUGGCUAGCCAGACUCUGUCCUGCCACAGUUCUCCUCCUACUCUUCAUUUCUUACCCCAAGGAGUAGUAAACAUGAAUCCUGACCCACCAAUGCAGUCCCAGAACUGAGAAAAGAUUCACUGCAGCUAAACACAUUGGAAAUGGAUGGGGAGAAGGCCUGAUGAAAAUUACUGAGGAAGCCUCUUAGCCUAUGUGCUCUGAGAGUAGUGACACCUAGCAGUCGUUCAAAAGAUGAUCAAGAGGAGCAUGAAAAAAUCCCCUGAAUCCAUUGGCUUUCUUCCCUAUACUGACAACAGUUUACUUGUGUAAGAGAUGCAUGCCUCGACUCCGGACCCCUUCUUUCAUCUGCAAAAUCAGCAGCACCCUCACAUCAUCUCCUGUAACAAACUCUCUCUGUCUCCUCCAUAUAAGGUCACUGAUGGUUACAUUUAGGGUCCAUGAUAUAAGAAGAUGGAUGUCUAUUGCUUUUCUCUUGAUAUUCAUGGCACUGCUCCUCUCCAUCCAUAGGAUUAUCUUAUAGAUGAGGGUCUCAUCCUUUUGCCCAGGCUGGAGUACAG
rnacentral:lncRNA from 1 species